GUCCAGGGAUGGGAAUCGAACCCACAAUGUUCCGCUGGCAGAUGCCAUGUCCACUAGGCUACCCUGGA